rnacentral:rRNA from 1 species
AUGUCUGGAGUGUUUGAUAGUAACAGUUCCUUGUUGCGCAAGUCGGACAGCGGGGCGGAAGCCAGAGAGACAGCGUUGCAGCUGGACCAAUCAGCGCGCGGCGCCAAGAAGGAACUUGAGAGAGUUUGUUGCUCUCCAUCACCCACCCACCACCUCCUCUCUCCUCUAUAUAAACCGGCACGCGCCCUGGCGCCAGCGAUGUCAUUCUCACCACGCGAGACGGUGGCGAGCCCGGGCGGGUGCGGCAAGGAGUCGUGCCCCUUCUGCGAGAUGUCGAGGCAGCACGCGGCCGGGUGCGCGCGGCGGCUGCCCAAGCGGAUCAUCCUGGUGCGGCACGGCGAGAGCCAGGGGAACCUCGACAUGUCGGCCUACUCCACCACCCCGGACUACCGCAUCCCGCUCACGCCGCGCGGGGUCGAGCAGGCGCGCGCCGCCGGCCGGGGCAUCCUCGACGUCGUCUCCUCCGGGGGCCCCGACGCCAACUGGAAGGUCUACUUCUACGUCUCCCCCUACGAGCGCACCCGGGCCACCCUGCGCGGGAUCGGCGCCGCCUUCCCGCGCGACCGCAUCAUCGGGGCCCGCGAGGAGUGCCGCGUCCGCGAGCAGGACUUCGGCAACUUCCAGGUCGAGGAGCGGAUGCGCGCCAUCAAGGAGACCCGCGAGCGCUUCGGCCGCUUCUUCUUCCGCUUCCCCGAGGGCGAGUCCGCCGCCGACGUCUUCGACCGCGUCGCCAGUUUCCUGGAGUCGCUGUGGAGGGACAUCGACAACGGGAGGCUGGAUCCGAGCACCACCUGCGAGACCAACCUGGUGAUCGUCUCGCACGGCCUCACCUCGCGCGUUUUCAUGAUGAAGUGGUUCAAGUGGACCGUGGAGCAGUUCGAGCGCCUCAACAACUUCGAGAACUGCGAGUUCAGGGUGAUGCAGCUCGGGCCCGGCGGCGAGUACAGCCUCCUCAUGCACCACACCAAGGAGGAGCUCGAGGAGUGGGGCCUGUCGCCGGAGAUGAUCACCGACCAGCAGUGGCGCGCCUCCGCCAACCGCCGCAGCUGGUCUGAGGAGUGCUCCUCCUUCAUGGCCACCUUCUUCGACAACUGGAUCGAUCCGCCAGAGGAGGGGGAGGGGGACGACAAGCGCCAGGAACAAGACGAUGGCAAGAUCAAGUCCCUGGAGUAA